rnacentral:tRNA from 1 species
AUUAAGGCUUUAAGUUAAAUAAACUAAUAGCCUUCAAAGCUGUAAAUAAAGUAGUAGUCUUUAAGCC